rnacentral:lncRNA from 1 species
GCAAACAAAUCACACCACGGAUGGACUGAUUCAAAAAUCCCUCAACUCCAUGCCCGGCCCUAUUAUGGGCACCACAGGACUUCGUAUUGCCCGGCCCUAUUAUGGGCACCACAGGACUUCGUAUUCAGAAGGCUAAUGAAUCAUCCUAAUGUCCAUCCACUAACAUCUAUCACAACAAUGCAAUGCGGCAUAUUCGUGAAUUCUAAUGCAAACAACCUAUGAUAUGAUCAUGAUGCAUGAAGCAUGAUAAAAGCAUUUCAUUUCUUAAUUUAAA